rfam:Oryza barthii chromosome 6, whole genome shotgun sequence.
AAUAUGUGCAGUUUUGUACUAUUCACAUUCAAUGUUUGAUCAUUUGUUUUAUUUGAAAAUAUUUUAUGAUUAGUACUUUUAUUGCUAUUAGAUGAUAAAACAUGAAUAGUACUUUAUGUGUGACUAAAUAUUUUUAAAUUUUUCACAAAUUUUUCAAAUAAGUUAGACGGUUAAAUAUUAGGCAUGGAUAUCCACGGCUACACUUAUU